rnacentral:lncRNA from 1 species
GCAUUGGUUGCCUUCUUGGUACUGCUCUAACAUAGCAGCUUGCAAAUCAUCUAGACUCACCUAUGUCCUCAAAUGUUGCAAUUAUAUUCUAUCAUUCUGACUUGAUCUAAAGAAACAUUGCCUUUAGACUAUGAGAGUAGUCUUCAUGGUACAUAAAAAGUUUAUUUUUUUCUUCUAAACACUGCAUAAAGGUAGAGAAAUAUUUUACUGUGAAAGUAAACUUUUGGUUUUAAAUAGAGCUUGGUGAAAAUAAGGUUCUUCCGACUCCUACAUAUUCUACUGGCCUGCUCUAUUCAUGAACAUUUUCAAAAUGUGCUGCUCUCAAUUUUUAAUUCAUUGUGCUACAUAUUUAGUCUCUCAUACAAUGGAAUUUAGGAGGGCUGCUUAACUGGAGCCUCAAUAAAAAGUAACUGUAUUCUUAAUUUUUUCUACUUUUCUUCAGUUUAUGUCCUUCACCAAGCUUGUGUGUAUGUGAG